GCUUUUUAAUUUGAUAAUGCUCUACCUGUGGAGGAGGGACUGUGGGACCAAGAGGACCCUGAAAAAUUCCCAAACAUGAAAGUCUGCAAAUUCACUAAUAGUCUUAAUCCAGAGGAAGAGGAAUAUUCAAAUUUGCAUGGGGAAGACUGCAUGCACAUGACAGAAGGCAGAGAGAGGAGCACUUACAGCCGAAGCUUGGCGUGGUUCAGGCCGCUCUCCCAAGCUCUGGAAACAGCUGUUGGAGAAGUCAGAGUUGACUUCCAGCAGCUAUUGUAGAAGAAGGAAGGCAGAAUACUCCACUGUUACCUCAGAAUACCUGAUGGCUCAUUAACAGGUUCUAUGCAAGCAGAUGAGUGCCACAGCUGUACCUGAGGCACAGACCGCUAAACAUAGUGAAGCCAAUUUCCACGAUGGCAAGCGGGGGCACCGGAGGUGACAACAAUGACAAGGACCUAGGGACCA